rnacentral:tRNA from 1 species
AGCCUCGGUACGCCUUUGGGGGUACGUCUCUAGAUUUGCACUCUAGUGUGAAAUCACCUCGAGGCUUG